UUGGUUAAGUUAGAAAGGGCGCACGGUGGAUGCCUUGGCACUAGGAGCCGAAGAAGGACGGGACUAACACCGAUAUGCUUUGGGGAGCUGUACGUAAGCGUUGAUCCAGAGAUUUCCGAAUGGGGGAACCCACUAUCUUUAGUCGGAUAGUAUCCUUACGUGAAUACAUAGCGUGAGGAAGGCAGACCCAGGGAACUGAAACAUCUAAGUACCUGGAGGAAGAGAAAGAAAAAUCGAUUUCCUGAGUAGCGGCGAGCGAAACGGAAAGAGCCCAAACCAAGAAGCUUGCUUCUUGGGGUUGUAGGACACUCUAUACGGAGUUACAAAAGAAAGUUAUAAAUGAAGCGGUCUGGAAAGGCCCGCCAAAGACGGUAACAGCCCGGUAGUUGAAAUGGCUUUCCCUCCAGAGUGGAUCCUGAGUACGGCGGAACACGUGAAAUUCCGUCGGAAUCCGGGAGGACCAUCUCCCAAGGCUAAAUACUCCCUAGUGACCGAUAGUGAACCAGUACCGUGAGGGAAAGGUGAAAAGCACCCCGGAAGGGGAGUGAAACAGUUCCUGAAACCGUGUGCCUACAAGUAGUUAGAGCCCGUUAAUGGGUGAUAGCGUGCCUUUUGUAGAAUGAACCGGCGAGUUACGAUUUGUUGCAAGGUUAAGCGGAAAAAGCGGAGCCGUAGCGAAAGCGAGUCUGAAUAGGGCGCAUAAGUAACAGGUCGUAGACCCGAAACCAGGUGAUCUACCCAUGUCCAGGAUGAAGGUAAGGUAAUACUUACUGGAGGUCCGAACCCACGCACGUUGAAAAGUGCGGGGAUGAGGUGUGGGUAGCGGAGAAAUUCCAAUCGAACUUGGAGAUAGCUGGUUCUCUCCGAAAUAGCUUUAGGGCUAGCCUCGAGGUAAAGAGUCAUGGAGGUAGAGCACUGUUUGGACUAGGGGCCCUUCUCGGGUUACCGAAUUCAGAUAAACUCCGAAUGCCAUGUACUUAUACUCGGGAGUCAGACUGCGAGUGAUAAGAUCCGUAGUCGAAAGGGAAACAGCCCAGACCACCAGUUAAGGUCCCCAAAUAUAUGUUAAGUGGAAAAGGAUGUGGGGUUGCUUAGACAACCAGGAUGUUGGCUUAGAAGCAGCCACCAUUGAAAGAGUGCGUAAUAGCUCACUGGUCGAGUGACCCCGCGCCGAAAAUGUACCGGGGCUAAACAUAUUACCGAAACUGUGGAUGAACCUCUUUAGAGGUUCGUGGUAGGAGAGCGUUCUAAGGGCGGUGAAGUCAGACCGGAAGGACUGGUGGAGCGCUUAGAAGUGAGAAUGCCGGUAUGAGUAGCGAAAGAAGGGUGAGAAUCCCUUCCACCGAAUAUCUAAGGUUUCCUGAGGAAGGCUCGUCCGCUCAGGGUUAGUCGGGACCUAAGCCGAGGCCGAUAGGCGUAGGCGAUGGACAACAGGUAGAGAUUCCUGUACCAGUGCUAAUUGUUUAACCGAUGGGGUGACACAGAAGGAUAGGGAAUCGCACGAAUGGAAAUGUGCGUCCAAGCAGUGAGUGUGAGAAGUAGGCAAAUCCGCUUCU
rnacentral:rRNA from 2 species